GGAGACUCGGCCGCAGAUUACAGUUGAGUGGAGUCGAGAUUGCCAUACCAUGGUGAUGUAGCCGGGUCAGUCUGGCUGUUGUGAUGUAGCUCUGAGUCUAUGAGGUCACUUCCUGUUCCUGAACAUUAGUGUUUCCUGUGACAUGGUGAGCUGAGGCUCAGGCUGUAAGGUCUCAUCAAGACGAUGAUAGAACAUCCUUUAGUGUUGAUGAUGAAAUAAGCUUUAUAUCUAGAAACCGACCAAUCGUAUCCUCUCUUUGAUCUCCAGAAGGCAGUGGUCACACAGGAAGAAAGCGUUUGAAGAAAAAGAAAAAAUGCAUCCUUCAGUGAGGUACAUGGGUCAGGACUUGUUUCUGUGGCGACAGGACUGGACCUGCAGGAGAACAAAGUGUUUAAAAGGGAAACACAAUCAUAAAGAACGAGGAAGCAGCAAGGAUUCUGGGCGGAGCUUCCUGUGGCUGACUGAUCUAACCCUCGCUCACCUCUCAGUGGCGCCGAAGUAACUGCGUCCAUUUGUGAUGUCAGCAAGGUUUCUGUGUGCACUUCCUGUCAGGUCGAGGCGCUGCACUGUCUCUGAGCUCAGGUGGUCUGAUGUGGGUGGGGCUCAGAAAGCACAGCAAAUAAACUCUUUCCAGGUUAAUGCCACCUGCCUGCUCACCUGGUUUCUUGCAAAAGACCUUUUAGAUUAAAAGCCUCGCAUUGUUCCCGUGCAGGUGUUCAGGUUUUAGACUUUUCUGUUCUUAUUGUUGAUUAAAGUUCGCUGAGACUUUUACUGUUAGAAUAAAUGUUGUUCUAGCUCUU
ensembl:lncRNA